rnacentral:rRNA from 1 species
UACGUAGGGUGCAAGCGUUAAUCGGAAUUACUGGGCGUAAAGCGUGCGCAGGCGGUUACAUAAGACAGAUGUGAAAUCCCCGGGCUUAACCUGGGAACUGCGUUUGUGACUGUGUGACUAGAGUACGGCAGAGGGGGGUGGAAUUCCUGGUGUAGCAGUGAAAUGCGUAGAUAUCGAGAGGAACACCAGUGGCGAAGGCGAGUCCCUGGACAACACCUGACACUGAGGCACGAAAGCUAGGGGGAGCAAACAGG